rnacentral:rRNA from 1 species
AGAGUUUGAUCAUGGCUCAGAACGAACGCUGGCGGCGUGCCUAACACAUGCAAGUCGUGCGGGAAAGUGGGGGCAACUCCACGAGUACAGCGGCGCACGGGUGAGUAACACGUAGGUAACCUGCCUUCGAGACUGGGAUAACCUGUCGAAAGACGGGCUAAUACCGGAUAAGACCACGAGAGCUGCGGUUUUUGUGGUAAAUGGUGGCCUCUGCUUGCAUGCUACCACUCGAAGAUGGGCCUGCGUGCCAUUAGCUAGUUGGCGGGGUAACGGCCCACCAAGGCAAAGAUGGCUAGCUGGUCUGAGAGGAUGGCCAGCCACACUGGGACCGAGACACGGCCCAGACUCCUACGGGAGGCAGCAGUGGGGAAUAUUGCGCAAUGGGCGAAAGCCUGACGCAGCGACGCCGCGUGGGUGAUGAAGGCCUUCGGGUCGUAAAGCCCUGUCGGGAGGGACGAAACCUCGGCGACCUAAUACGUCGUCGACUUGACGGUACCUCCUAAGGAAGCACCGGCUAACUCCGUGCCAGCAGCCGCGGUAAUACGGAGGGUGCAAGCGUUGUUCGGAAUCACUGGGCGUAAAGCGCGUGUAGGCGGCCUUUUAAGUCUGAUGUGAAAGCCCGGGGCUUACCCCCGGAAGGGCAUUGGAAACUGGGAGGCUAGAGUACCGGAGAGGAAGGUGGAAUUCCUGGUGUAGCGGUGAAAUGCGUAGAUAUCAGGAGGAACACCGGUGGCGAAGGCGGCCUUCUGGACGGAUACUGACGCUGAGACGCGAAAGCGUGGGGAGCAAACAGGAUUAGAUACCCUAGUAGUCC